AAGAUCAUACUUCACAGGAUCAUUUCUGUAGUAUAUCUUCACGUCCUCUCUACCCAAAAGUGGAGUCGAUGCAGCCACGAUGAUGAGCAGUAGCUCUUCUCUCUGAGCGUGAGAGACUGCUGGCGAGAUCGAUUUUUUCAUCGAUCUUUCCAGUACUCGAGGAUCGUUCGUCUUCUGCAGUUUGUGCAGAAGGUAAUGGGAGUUUGGGCGUUCUGAGUGGU